rnacentral:rRNA from 1 species
UACGUAGGGUGCAAGCGUUGUCCGGAAUUAUUGGGCGUAAAGAGCUUGUAGGCGGUUUGUCGCGUCUGCUGUGAAAUUUCGGGGCUCAACCCCGAACUUGCAGUGGGUACGGGCAGACUAGAGUGUGGUAGGGGAGACUGGAAUUCCUGGUGUAGCGGUGAAAUGCGCAGAUAUCAGGAGGAACACCGAUGGCGAAGGCAGGUCUCUGGGCCACUACUGACGCUGAGGCGCGAAAGCCAGGGGAGCAAACGGG